rnacentral:rRNA from 1 species
GAUGAACGCUGGCGGCGUGCUUAACACAUGCAAGUCGAACGGUGAAGGCGGAGCUUGCUCUGCUGGAUCAGUGGCGAACGGGUGAGUAACACGUGAGCAAUCUGCCCCUGACUCUGGGAUAAGCGCUGGAAACGGCGUCUAAUACUGGAUACGAGCUGCGAAGGCAUCUUCAGCAGCUGGAAAGAACUUCGGUCAGGGAUGAGCUCGCGGCCUAUCAGCUUGUUGGUGAGGUAACGGCUCACCAAGGCGUCGACGGGUAGCCGGCCUGGGAGGGUGACCGGCCACACUGGGACUGAGACACGGCCCAGACGCCUACGGGAGGCAGCAGUGGGGAAUAUUGCACAAUGGGCGAAAGCCUGAUGCAGCAACGCCGCGUGAGGGACGACGGCCUUCGGGUUGUAAACCUCUUUUAGCAGGGAAGAAGCGAAAGUGACGGUACCUGCAGAAAAAGCGCCGGCUAACUACGUG